rnacentral:rRNA from 1 species
UACGAAGGGGGCUAGCGUUGCUCGGAAUGACUGGGCGUAAAGGGCGCGUAGGCGGAUAGUACAGUCAGACGUGAAAUUCCUGGGCUCAACCUGGGGACUGCGUUUGAUACGUGCUGUCUUGAGUGAGGAAGAGGGUUGUGGAAUUCCCAGUGUAGAGGUGAAAUUCGUAGAUAUUGGGAAGAACACCGGUGGCGAAGGCGGCAACCUGGUCCUUUACUGACGCUGAGGCGCGAAAGCGUGGGGAGCAAACAGG